rnacentral:antisense_RNA from 1 species
GGAAGAAGGAAUCAGGAGGCAGAGCACAUGGUUAAAGCAUGAGAUGUGAAACCAGGAAGAACCAGGUCUGAAUCUUAGCUCCACCAGUGGUAGCUCCAAACCUUAGUCCUUUCUGAGCCUGCUUCUUCAACCCUAAGGAAUUCGGAAACGGGACCCAGAAAGUUGUUUCCUGCAAGUGGCUGGAACAACACAAGCAAUAAGUAUCCUGAAACAGGCCCUGUUCCAACAAACUGACCCAGAAAGAGGUUACACCAAUUAUCUCUCCAGCAAGUAUGAGGAAUCCUGUUUCCCUACGUUCUCACUACGACAGCAGGAUAUCAAACAUUGAUAUCCACCAAUCUCUGGAUGGAAAAACAAAUCUCAGGGUAGAAUGGAUGGACUUUGUGCAACAUAAUCUGACAGUUAAGGCUGUGGAAUUUAGAGUCAGAAAGACCUGAGGUCCAAGCCCCAGCUCUGCUAUUUUCUACUAUGUGAUCAAAGGACAUUUUCCUAACUCUUCAAAGCUUCCAUGUCCUUGAUCUGAUGGAAUCAGGAAUAGUAUCUAUACCGUAGAGGGCAGUUCUGAGGACUAAAACCAUGCAAAGCAGUUAGCACAGAGCCUGUGAAUAUUCAA